rnacentral:rRNA from 1 species
AUUGAACGCUAGCGGCAUGCCUUACACAUGCAAGUCGAACGGCAGCACGGGAGCAAUCCUGGUGGCGAGUGGCGAACGGGUGAGUAAUAUAUCGGAACGUGCCCAGUCGUGGGGGAUAACGUAGCGAAAGCUACGCUAAUACCGCAUACGAUCUAUGGAUGAAAGCGGGGGAUCGCAAGACCUCGCGCGAUUGGAGCGGCCGAUAUCAGAUUAGGUAGUUGGUGAGGUAAAGGCUCACCAAGCCGGCGAUCUGUAGCUGGGCUGAGAGGACGACCAGCAAGACUGGGACUGAGACAGGGCCCAGGCUCCUACGGGAGGGAGCAGUGGGGAAGUUUGGACAAUGGGCGCAAGCCUGAUCCAGCAAUGCCGCGUGCAGGAUGAAGGCCUUCGGGUUGUAAACUGCUUUUGUACGGAACGAAACGGCGAGCUCUAAUACAGCUUGCUAAUGACGGUACCGUAAGAAUAAGCACCGGCUAACUACGUGCCAGCCGCCGCAGUAA